UACGAAGAGUGCAAGCGUUACUCGGAAUUACUGGGCGUAAAGCGUGCGUAGGUGGUUCGUUAAGUCUGUCGUGAAAGCCCCGGGCUCAACCUGGGAAUGGCGAUGGAUACUGGCGGGCUAGAGUGCGGUAGAGGAGAGUGGAAUUCCCGGUGUAGCAGUGAAAUGCGUAGAGAUCGGGAGGAACAUCAGUUGCGAAGGCGGCUCUCUGGACCAGCACUGACACUGAGGCACGAAAGCGUGGGGAGCAAACAGG
rnacentral:rRNA from 1 species